rnacentral:rRNA from 1 species
CAGUCGCCGCGGUAAUACGAGGGGGGCAAGCGUUGUUCGGAAUUAUUGGGCGUAAAGGGUGCGUAGGCGGUUUGGCAAGUUUGGUGUGAAAUCUUCGGGCUCAACUCGAAGUCUGCAUCGAAAACUGCCGGGCUUGAGUAUGGGAGAGGUGAGUGGAAUUUCCGGUGUAGCGGUGAAAUGCGUAGAUAUCGGAAGGAACACCUGUGGCGAAAGCGGCUCACUGGACCAUAACUGACGCUGAUGCACGAAAGCUAGGGGAGCAAACAGGAUUAGAUACCCCGGUAGUCCCUGUCUCUUAUAU